AGAAUCAACGCUGGCGGCGUGCCUCAGACAUGCAAGUCGAACGCGAAAGUCCCCUUCGGGGGAUGAGUAGAGUGGCGCUCGGGUGAGUAACACGUAGGUAAUCUACCUUUGGGUGGGGAAUAACAGCCGGAAACGGCUGCUAAUACCGCAUAAUGCAGCGGCUCGACAUCGAGACAGUUGUUAAAGCGGGGGAUCGAAAGACCUCGCGUCUGAAGAGGAGCCUGCGGCGGAUUAGCUAGUUGGUAAGGUAAUGGCUUACCAAGGCUACGAUCC
rnacentral:rRNA from 1 species